rnacentral:rRNA from 1 species
UACGGAGGAUGCAAGCGUUAUCCGGAAUGAUUGGGCGUAAAGCGCCCGCAGGUGGCAAUGUAAGUCUGCUGUCAAAGCGUCUGGCUCAACCAGAUAAAGGCAGUGGAAACUACAUAGCUAGAGGAGGGUAGGGGUAGAGGGAAUUCCUGGUGUAGCGGUGAAAUGCGUAGAGAUCAGGAAGAACACCGGUGGCGAAAGCGCUCUGCUGGACCUUAACUGACACUGAGGGACGAAAGCUAGGGGAGCGAAUGGG